rnacentral:lncRNA from 1 species
CACUGCUUUCAGUAGGGUGGGAGCUGCCUUCCACUCAGAGCUAAAACUCCAGGUUCUACAGCUGCCUUUCCAGAGGUCAUGUUCACUGCUACCUUACAGGAGGCCUGGAACACCCCUCCUAUAUCUGCCCGUGGACCCAGCAGUCUGGACUUUUGCCCCAACAGAUCUGUGGUCUAAUGAUGGGAGGAAAGGCUUACAAUCGAGAAAAACCUACCCAGAGCCUAGCCUUUCCCCUGCCCAUUGGGCGUGUCUGUUCCUGUCCCUGUCUGACACCUGGCUGUGAAGGACAUCGAAGUCAUUGGGUGACACUGGUCAGUUACCCCAGACGAAAGCGGAGGUUGAGUCCUUAGCUUACAACGCAGGAGUGUCAUGAUGACCGAGUAUUAGCUCCCAGGUUAUAUGGUUGCACACACUCAGGGCCAACAAAACCAAAGGCAAAAACCAAUGGCAGGAGCAGCAAGAACGUGAGGAGACUAGAGAGUCAAGGGUGACCAGAGUCCAGCCCAGCGGAUUGUGUGUGCCCAGCUGCUCUGGGAUCGUCAGACAGGAGGAGAAUGCAAACCCCAAGACCUGGGUGAUGCUUCUCAGGUAUGGCUAGUCUGACACCUUUCUUUCUCUAUUUUUUAAGUUUUAAAUUUAGUUUAAAUUAUAUAGAUGAAAUUAUAUUUAAUGAUGUUGAUGAAAAUGGCAAUCAAAAAUCCCACAACAGCCUGGUAUGUUCAUAGAUCCAGUGACAUCUGAAUACACAUGUAGGUCACACCUGCUUCCUGCACAUGGAGCCCUGCUGAGCAAGGUGGAGCAUAGCUGCUGGGGGAUGGGAUCCCCACCCAGAGUUCUGGGCUCAUGAACAUCCAGGCACAUUUGAAAAGUUAAAUAUCAAGUUAAAAAGUAGAAGCGAGCCAUCAAAAUUGAAUAAGUGAGACAUUUAAGGGACAUAAUUUGGAGAUGAAAAAGAAGUGUUAAUUGAAGUAAAUUUUAUGUUAUAUGUAUAUUGU